rnacentral:lncRNA from 1 species
UCUUCAGCUCACAUACCUCCCACACCCUCAACCCAAAAAUCAAGAAGUUCUAGAACAAAACCCAUGAUACAAUCUCUUCCAGGAAUGAUUCUUUGCACAGUAGAUCGGAAAAAAUGGUAUUUCUUAUUCUUGAUUUGGCAGUUGAAGUACAUGUAUACGAAAGGAAUCUAGAUUUUCUCCAUAUUUAUCAUUUUUGUGACUUCUAGUUUCUUGGGUGAGAAUGGUUAAGAUCAGGUUGUUAUAGUAAUUUCUUAGUUGUGAAUUUUGUGUUUUUAGGGUUGGAACGGAGAGACUUAUGAGCAAUCCAGUGGAAAAUUUGAAUCUAUUGAAGAAUAUUCCAACUCCAACUCCAACUCCCACUUCAACAAGGCGAGUAUCUGAGAGCUUGGAUCUUGCUCAAAGAACAUCAUUUUGUCCAUAAUGUUCUAACAAUUACGAUAAGGAAUGGACGAAA